NNNNNUGAGGGCAAUCUGGCUGCGACAUCUGUCAUUGAUGGAUUGCCAGUGUUGAUUUGGCUGAUCUAGCUGACUAGGUGGGUGUUCUCUUUUUGCCUCAAUGCUCCAUGUGAAUUUCUCCUAAAGCUAUGUCCUCAAUCAAAGAGGAAGACCACUUCUAGUAGAGGAGAACUAUUUCCUCAUUCGGGGACAAGAAUAGCUGCGCUCCCCUGCUAGAACCUCCAAAAGCUUGCAAGAAAGAAAGAGAGAGAGAGGAAAAGAGACAGAGG
ensembl:misc_RNA 7SK 7SK RNA